rnacentral:rRNA from 1 species
AGUGAACGCUGGCGGUAGGCCUAACACAUGCAAGUCGAACGGCAGCACAGUAAGAGCUUGCUCUUACGGGUGGCGAGUGGCGGACGGGUGAGGAAUACAUCGGAAUCUACUUUUUCGUGGGGGAUAACGUAGGGAAACUUACGCUAAUACCGCAUACGACCUACGGGUGAAAGCAGGGGAUCUUCGGACCUUGCGCGAUUGAAUGAGCCGAUGUCGGAUUAGCUAGUUGGCGGGGUAGAGGCCCACCAAGGCGACGAUCCGUAGCUGGUCUGAGAGGAUGAUCAGCCACACUGGAACUGAGACACGGUCCAGACUCCUACGGGAGGCAGCAGUGGGGAAUAUUGGACAAUGGGCGCAAGCCUGAUCCAGCCAUACCGCGUGGGUGAAGAAGGCCUUCGGGUUGUAAAGCCCUUUUGUUGGGAAAGAAAAGCAGCAGGUUAAUACCCCGCUGUCCUGACGGUACCCAAAGAAUAAGCACCGGCUAACUUCGUG